UUCAAUAUCUCACAGUAUCUUGCCGAUUUCAAAUCGAAUUUGCCAGCCGUCAGCUAGCGUCAAACUGUUAUACAGAGAACUUGUAUAUGAAUGAAUCAUCUUUGAUUCGUCCAUGAUGUCGCAGCACUAUAAACAAACUCAUGAGUGAUGAUCUCACAUUUGAAAGUUUUCAUAUCCUAACUAGUUCUGAGCUUAAUGCAAACUUAAGCGAUGACUAACAACAUCCUGAACACCCCAGAUGCUGAAAAACUGCCUCUAGUGACAUGUUCCUGCACUAUGCAAGGAUUCAUCGGACGACCCGGACGGCCUCUCCACCGCCGCGGUGGCCGUGCUGUAGGCGCGCUUCUUCUCCGCCCGCACCAUGCUUGCCAGUUGCCACCGGCGGCGAGGUACCACCGUACCAGUGCCACCGGCGGCGAGGUACCACCGGGCGGCAGAUCCAGGAGGAGGAGAAGCCGAGCCGAGCCGAAUUCCGCCGGGCCGACGAUGGCCCACACCCACCCACAACAUGAGAUGAGAAGGACAAGGCCCACACCCACCCACAACAUGAGAUGAGAAGGACAAGGACAGCGCUAUGUUUGCAGAGCAGUAGCGUUCGACGAAGCCGCGGUCUCUCAGGAUGGAGCGAGCAGCCACCAUCGUGGUUGCGGCAGGAACACCGCGCUCCGGGAGGAGACGGAGGGGGUGCUCGUGUGGCUCACUACGAACCGAGCUUCCAUUCCCGGCCAGCGCGUGGAGCUUGAGACCUCGCGUGGUCGGAUUUCUUGCCGAAUCGGGCGCGCCUCAUCUCUGAUUCUUGCAAACUGCAGGGGUUAGGGGGACCGGAGAGCCGGUUCUCGUGCAUGAGAGGGUAGCGGGUGGCAUGGAGCUUUGCGCUACCGGCAGGAAAGGAUGCUGGAAGGACGGCGGCAGCGGCCGUCGGCAGCCGAGCCGAUCCAAAACAGGGUCAGGAGCCCUUUUGCAAAUAUUCGUAUCGCGAUCCAAAUUAGGAGGCUAUUUGUAAAAAACAGGGGGAAUAUGCAAAUAAUCGGAUCGCGAUCCAAAUAAGGGGGGCAUUUGUACAUUACGGGGGUCAAUAUGCAAAUAAUCGGAUCGCGAUUAUUAAUCGCGAUCCAAACCAGAGGGCUUCAUGCAAAAUUUGGCGCCGGCGUCAUGGCGGCCGGCGACGUCGCGUUGCCGCCGGUGAACUCCGCUUGCGACGUUGCGCGUGUGCCGCGCGAACCUCCGGAGGAUCCGCGUCCCUGCCUAUGGAUCCCGUCGCGCGCCGCCGCCGCUCACGGCCCUAGCUCCUGGAGAUGCUGCAAGCGGUCGCGGGUGUGUCAGAGCGCGCGCCGCGCGGCGCCCAGUGACGCGGAUGGCGCAAGCAAAGCAGCGACGGCGUUGAAGGUUUCCUUGGCUACGCUACCCCCGUUGGCUGCUCAUGAGCUGAAGGUCCCGUUCGUGCCUGCUCCAACGUUUCCAUCCUCGGCAUCGCUGUGCCGUGCGCCGAGCUGGAGUGCUUCGUCAAGGGCUCAAGGCACCUCCUCUGUCCUCUCUCUCGGCCUCGUCUUCUCUCCCUCCUCUGGUUUGUAGAUUAGUCACUGCUGCGCCCUGCAUUCUUCUCCGAAUUGCAGAGCUGAUUGAACUUCUGCAGCGGCAGCGUAUGGAGGACGAGGUGGCGGUCAAGCUGAGGAGGUUGGAGCGCCACCGCGCCGCGGCGUUGGCGAGCCACGCGCUCGCUCCUCUUUCCGCAUGGAGGAUCACCUCUCGUUUCUCCUUCCCUGCCGCUUCUUCUCCGUCCAGUUGGGUUGAGGAAUCAUAAGAGCUGAUGAAGCGUGCACUGAGCUUUCCUUUGGAGCAAGGAGCUUUCCAUUUUUUAGUAUGUUACUCGUUAAUUCCUUUGUAAACCUGCGCAUUGAUUAAUCAAGUGUGCUUCUACAUGUUGUUAUC